rnacentral:rRNA from 1 species
CAGUCGCCACGGUAAUACGUAGGGUGCAAGCGUUAAUCGGAAUUACUGGGCGUAAAGCGUGCGCAGGCGGUCCGCUAAGACAGAUGUGAAAUCCCCGGGCUUAACCUGGGAACUGCAUUUGUGACUGGCGGGCUAGAGUAUGGCAGAGGGGGGUAGAAUUCCACGUGUAGCAGUGAAAUGCGUAGAGAUGUGGAGGAAUACCGAUGGCGAAGGCGGCUACCUGGACUGACACUGACACUGAGGCGCGAAAGCGUGGGGAGCAAACAGGAUUAGAGACCCCUGUAGUCCCUGUCUCUUAUAC